GACGAACGCUGGCGGCGUGCUUAACACAUGCAAGUCGAACGGACAGGCCUGCUUUCCCUUGUUCUUUUCUUAUACUCGGGUGGCUAACGGGUGAGUAACACGUGAGUGUUCUGCCCCCAACUUGGUUCUAAGCCUGGGAACCUGUGUCUAAUUCUCGUUAGGACUGCAGGGUGCUGCCUGUGGUGGAAAUCGUUUUUCUAGUUGUUGGGGAUGAGCUCGCGGCCUAUCAGCUUGUUGGUGUGGUAAUGUCCUACCAAGGCGGCGACGGGUAGCCGGCCUGGGAGGGUGGACGGCGACAUUGAGACUGGGACAAGGCCCAGACGCGUAGGAGAGGCAGGAGAGGGGAAGAUAGGAGAAUGAGCGGAAGCCUGAUGCAGCGAGGGCGCGUGGAGGGUGACGGCAUUCGGGUAGUAAGCUCCUUGCGAACGAGAGGAAGGCAACUGGUUGGAAGGGUGGUGACGGUAGUGGUAGAAGAAGCAACGGCUAACUACGUG
rnacentral:rRNA from 1 species